UGAGUACCACUCUGAGUUCACAUCGGUAGUGUUAAAGAAACGAGUGUGAACACAGCUGGUGGUAUCUCAGU
rnacentral:pre_miRNA from 1 species